CGAGACUCUGCUUACUCUUAGGUAAAAUUUUCGAUCCUUAUCUUCUUAGAAAAUUAAUCGAAUUAUUGCAAACAAGUUAUAUAUUUGCCCGCAACACAAAUAUAUCUUUCUGAAAGUCCUCCUAUCACAUGAUCACUGCCGUUGGCUUACUAUCCUUGAAGCGCUCCUUUCCUCGGGAAUCUCUCUUUAUAACGCCCCCUACGGUACCAAAGACGUGGCAAGGCUUGCCUUGUGUCGUGUUUUCGAUUUUCCACCUCCAGGUAAUCUGAUGGUCAUAUCCCGUCCACCAGAGGCCGCUAUGAUUCUUGACUCUCUAAGUAAGAGAGGAUACAAAACACUAUUUCCCCCUUUCCACUCAAAGAAGCCUAUUCUCUUCUGGCAGAUUAACAGAUACAUGGCCACUUGACGAAAAUAAGUGAACUACAACAGGUCAAUCCUGGGUUUGCGGUGUGUGUGCUAUGGACUUGCUGGCUGAGGCUUUCAAAGUUUUAUCACGCAUCUCUCUACUCCAGAACAUAUUUGGCAGUUUCCGCGCUGGCAUUCCUAUGAACAGGACGAGGCGGUUGAGGCUCCCCUUGAUUCUUAUCCCGAGAAUGCUACUAGCAUGGUGAGUGAAGACGCAACCAACGGCCUGUAACGUUGAGAUUUCUAAUCUUUCGAAUUCUGGGGUUUUCUCGAUGAAAACUAUAAGUAUCAAGCACAAGAAGAGGAGGACGUGAAGAAGAAUAUGAAGUAGAAGAAGAGUACAUGGCCCUUGGUGUUGUUUUUCUCCAAGGCCUUUCGUAUGGUGAAUGGGUUGCUCUACUUCUAGCGGCAAAUGUUGGUUUAACUUAUAACUUAUGGGUAUUUUUUUUUUCUUGGUUUCUCCUGUCUUCUAUUGUUCGCAUAACUUAUUCAAGUGUUUGCAGCCAAAUUUGGUUUAUUCAUCUUUUCCAUACUUUUACAGAUUGAGAGACAGAGUCUUCUCUCUAAGGAAGCUGCAGUGAGGGUUCCUGAGUUUGAUUCUAAUAAAUAAAGCUAUAACUUGGUAUAAAAUAAACAAUGUAUAUUUGAAAACAAUUCUAUAAUAACGACCAGCUGACAAUGCUAA